UACGGAGGGUGCGAGCGUUGUCCGGAAUCAUUGGGCGUAAAGGGCGCGUAGGUGGCCCGGUGAGUCUUUGGUGAAAGCGCGGGGCUCAACCCUGCGUCGGCCAGGGAUACUGCCGCGGCUCGAGCACUGUAGAGGCAGCGGAAUUCCGGGUGUAGCGGUGGAAUGCGUAGAGAUCCGGAGGAAGACCGGUGGCGAAGGCGGUCUGCUGGGCAGUUUCUGACACUGAGGCGCGACGAGCGUGG
rnacentral:rRNA from 1 species